UCUCCGAUAGAACGCGCUGCGUCGCGCCAGUAGACAGCGGAUCGCCAAAACCCGACCCUGGAAAAAAAGCAGAGCCACGUCUGUUUGAAGAUUAUUUUAUUGCAGCGAGGUAGGCAGUUCAGUGAAUUUCUCCAUGAAUGUACGUCACAAUGAUGAUGACAGACCAGAUUCCCCUGGACUUGGCCCCCCCCCUCCUGAACGGGGAGGUUCCACUCGGCAUGCACAUGGUUAAUGGGGAUGCAGCGCAGCAGGUGAUCCUGGUGC